rnacentral:rRNA from 1 species
GGACCAAGGAGUCUAGCAUGUGCGCGAGUCAUUGGGAUUAUCAUUAAACCUAAAGGCGUAAUGAAAGUGAAGGUUUUCCUCGCGAAAACCUAGGGAGGACGGGCGGUAUUUAUUUUUAAACACCGUUAAAAGUGGCCGCUCCGCACUCCCGGGGCGUCUCGUUCUCAUCGCGAGAAGAGGCGCACCAAGAGCGUACACGCUGGGACCCGAAAGAUGGUGAACUAUGCCUGGUCAGGACGAAGUCAGGGGAAACCCUGAUGGAGGUCCGUAGCGAUUCUGACGUGCAAAUCGAUCGUCGGAACUGGGUAUAGGGGCGAAAGACUAAUCGAACCAUCUAGUAGCUGGUUCCCUCCGAAGUUUCCCUC